rnacentral:lncRNA from 1 species
AUGGUAGGGGUUAGGGUUAGAGUCAACACUAGGUACACACCCUGUAUGGUAGGGGUUAGGGUUAGAGUUAACACUAGGGACACACCCUGCAUGGUAGGGGUUAGGGUUAGAGUUAACACUAGGUACACACCCUGUAUGGUAGGGGUUAGGGUUAGAGUCAGGGUUAGGGUCAACACUAGGUACACACCCUGUAUGGUAGGGGUUAGGGUUAGAGUCAACACUAGGUACACACCCUGUAUGGUAGGGGAUAGGGUUAGAGUUAACACUAGGUACACACCCUGUAUGGUAGGGGUUAGGGUUAGAGUCAGGGUUAGGGUCAACACUAGGUACACACCCUGUAUGGUAGGGGUUAGGGUUAGAGUCAACACUAGGUACACACCCUGUAUGGUAGGGGUUAGGGUUAGAGUUAACACUAGGUACACACCCUGUAUGGUAGGGGUUAGGGUUAGAGUUAACACUAGGUACACACCCUGUAUGGUAGGGGUUAGGGUUAGAGUUAACACUAGGUACACACCCUGUAUGGUAGGGGUUAGAGUUAGAGUCAACACUAGGUACACACCCUGUAUGGUAGGGGUUAGGGUUAGAGUUAACACUAGGUACACACCCUGUAUGGUAGUGGUUAGAGUUAACACUAGGUACACACGCUGUAUGGUAGCGGCUAGGGUUAACACUAGGUACACACCCUGUAUGGUAGGGGUUAGGGUUAACACUAGGUACACACCCUGUAUGGUAGGGGUUAGAGUUAACACUAGGUACACACCCUGUAUGGUAGGGGUUAGGGUUAGAGUCAACACUAGGUACACACCCUGUAUGGUAGGGGUUAGAGUUAACACUAGGUACACACCCUGUAUGGUAGGGGUUAGGGUUAGAGUUAACACUAGGUACACACCCUGUAUGGUAGGGGUUAGGGUUAGAGUUAACACUAGGUACACACCCUGUAUGGUAGGGGUUAGGGUUAGAGUCAACACUAGGUACACACCCUGUAUGGUAGGGGUUAGGGUUAGAGUCAACACUAGGUACACACCCUGCAUGGUAGGGGUUAGGGUUAACACUAGGUACACACCCUGUAUGGUAGGGGUUAGAGUCAACACUAGGUACACACCCUGUAUGGUAGGGGUUAGGGUUAGAGUCAACACUAGGUACACACCCUGCAUGGUAGGGGUUAGGGUCAACACUAGGUACACACCCUGUAUGGUAGGGGUUAGGGUUAGAGUUAACACUAGGUACACACCCUGUAUGGUAGCGGUUAGGGUUAGAGUCAACACUAGGUACACACCCUGUAUGGUAGGGAAUAGGGUUAGAGUCAACACUAGGUACACACCCUGUAUGGUAGGGGUUAGGGUUAACACUAGGUACACACCCUGUAUGGUAGGGGUUAGGGUUAGAGUCAACACUAGGUACACACCCUGUAUGGUAGGGGUUAGGGUUAACACUAGGUUAUACAUUGCAUACAGUACUAACAAUGUCUUUAACAUCACACACACACUCUCUGUCCUUACUCACACACACUCACACCCUCUGUCCUUACUAACACACACAAACACACGUGCGCACUCACACACACAAACACAUUCUCUGUCCUUACUGACACACUCACUCAUGCACACAAACACACACAUCAAAAUAGAGCCCUCCUUCCCUCUCACCUGUCUUUCUAAGGGGUUGGUAGGUGUAGGGGUUGAGGGUAUGGGUGAAGAUAUGGAUGAGGGUGGGGUUGAGGGUGAAGGUUGGAUGGGGGUGUCUAUUGGAGGUGUCUGUCUCCCCCCUUCCUCCAUAUCACCCAAUAGCUCCACUCUCCCCUCCUCCCCUCCCUCUCUCCCCUCCUCCCCUCCAUCUCUCUCCUCCUCCUCUCCUUUCUGUCGUCUGAGAGUCUCUAUGUGUCUGUUCCUCCUCCUCUCGUCUCGAACACUGAGCAUCUCCUCAAAGUCCAGCUGGAGCAUCUCGGCGCUGUAAUACACACAAAUAAUGAAUUGCUGUUCUCCCUAGUAUCUCUACAGAGAAGUGAACUGUGAAGUGUGUGUGUGUGUGUGCCUGUGUGUGAGCGUGUGAUAACAGGUGUUUGACCUCUGACCUGGUGAUGCUUGGAGCAUUGUCAUUGGUGGGUUGGUUUCCGGGGGUGUGUCGGGGAGAAAGGUCGUUUCCAGGUGAAAGGUCGUUUCCAGGUGAAAGGUCAUUGUCGGGGUCAGUGCUGCUAUAGCUCCUCUCCUUCCUCCUCCUCUCCCUUUCCACUUCCUCUUCAUCCUCCACUGUCCACUGGCGGGCAAGCCUACACAGACCCACACAGUUUAACACUAGUGACCUAGGCUACUACAGGGACUUUUGAGGUUCUCAUUAGAUUUAAAUAAGGCUUUAUAACCACAACAUGCUUCAUAAAUCAUCUGCAUGAAGAUGCAGUAGUAUGAACAGCUGAUGACAGGGUUAGGGACAACAACUCUCUUUGUAGGGUGCGCUCUGUGUGACAUGCUGUCUAAGAUGGUACUCUGUGUGACAUGCUGUCUGAGAUGGUACUCUGUGUGACAUGCUGUCUAAGAUGGUACUCUGUGUGACAUGCUGUCUGAGAUGGUACUCUGUGUGACAUGCUGUCUAAGAUGGUACUCUGUGUGACAUGCUGUCUGAGAUGGUACUCUGUGUGACAUGCUGUCUGAGAUGGUACUCUGUGACAUGCUGUCUAAGAUGGUACUCUCUGUGACAUGCUGUCUAAGAUGGUACUCUGUGUGACAUGCUGUCUGAGAUGGUACUCUGUGUGACAUGCUGUCUGAGAUGGUACUCUGUGUGACAUGCUGUCUGAGAUGGUACUCUGUGUGACAUGCUGUCUGAGAUGGUACUCAGACAGGGGUCUAAAAAAACUAUAUGGAAUUGUUUUAAGAAGGUCAUACCAAGGAUAAUUUUGCUAUUUGAUUUACAAUUUUAAGACCCCUAGAAGUAUCAAAGAAAAACAAUUUGAUGAUUUGGCCUUUCUACUAUUAGCCCAUACAAAACGCAUUGAAUAACAGAUUCACUACAUGGAACAUCAGAUAGCAAACAAUGGAAGGGAAGUUUGUUCUGAAGUGUCUGUCCUAUAUCUGAGAGAUAUAAGACACAUCAACACUAUAAUUAUUUUUACAUGUCGGGUCACCAUAUAUACUGUACUUCCACUCAUUUUUUCAACUGCUACUAGGGGACCUUCAGACAGGCUACCCUAGGGCGGCAGGGUAGCCUAGUUGUUAGAGUGUUGGACUAGUAACCGGAAGGUUGCAAGUUCAAAUCCCCGAGCUGACAAGGUACAAAUCUGUCGUUCUGCCCCUGAACAGGCAGUUAACCCACUGUUCCCAGGCCGUCAUCGAAAAUAAGAAUUUGUUCUUAACUGACUUGCCUGGUUAAAUAAAAAAAUAAAAGUAUUGUGGGG